rnacentral:tRNA from 1 species
GAGAGAGGCUCGACAGCAAUGGAGACUGCUAAUCUUCACCACCUUGGUUAAACCCCUGGGCUCACUCG